AUGCCUUUUCCUCCUGUUCGGCCAGGAGAUGAAUGCUUUCUAAACAUUGGUAAUAACAAUGAGAUCAGAGAGUACUGCUCUAUUCAUUGCUCUUCUAAAUCUUGUGAGUGCAAGGCAGGCAAAGUGUUAACUGAAACCCCAUGGCCUACUCGCCAUCGUCAACUUCCUCUUUGCGCUCGCCGUCAACGCUCCCAUGGGCGGAGCCACAAGGGGAUGGAUGUACAUAUGUACACCCGUUAA
rnacentral:rRNA from 1 species